GGUGAACGCUGGCGGCGUGCUUAAGACAUGCAAGUCGAACGCAGUCUUCGGACUGAGUGGCGCACGGGUGAGUAACACGUAACUGACCUACCCCCAAGUCGCGAAUAACCAGCCGAAAGGAUGGCUAAUACGUGAUGUGAUGAUCCGCUGUGGCGGAUCAUUAAAGACUUGAUCGCUUGGGGAUGGGGUUGCGUUCCAUCAGCUAGUUGGUAAGGUAAAGGCUUACCAAGGCAACGACGGAUAGCCGGCCAGAGAGGGUGGCCGGCCACAGGGGCACUGCGAACCGGGACCCACGCCUACGGGAGGCAGCAGUUAGGAGUCUUCCACAAUGGGCGCAAGCCUGAUGGAGCGACGCCGCGAGAGGGAUGAAGGUUCUCGGAUCGUAAACCUCUGAACCAACGACGAAAGACCCGACAAGGGAGAUGACGGUAGUUGGGUAAUAGCACCGGCUAACUCCGUGCCAGCAGCCGCCGUAAUAC
rnacentral:rRNA from 1 species